AUUGAACGCUGGCGGCAUGCCUUACACAUGCAAGUCGAACGGUAACAGGUCUUUCGGGAUGCUGACGAGUGGCGAACGGGUGAGUAACACAUCGGAACGUGCCUAGUAGUGGGGGAUAACUACUCGAAAGAGUGGCUAAUACCGCAUGACAUCUAUGGAUAAAAGCAGGGGACCUUCGGGCCUUGUGCUACUAGAGCGGCCGAUGGCAGAUUAGGUAGUUGGUGGGAUAAAAGCUUACCAAGCCGACGAUCUGUAGCUGGUCUGAGAGGACGAUCAGCCACACUGGGACUGGGACACGGCCCAGACUCCUACGGGAGGCAGCAGUGGGGAAUUUUGGACAAUGGGGGAAACCCUGAUCCAGCAAUGCCGCGUGCAGGAUGAAGGCCUUCGGGUUGUAAACUGCUUUUGUACGGAACGAAAAGCUCUGGGUUAAUACCCUGGAGUCAUGACGGUACCGUAAGAAUAAGCACCGGCUAACUACGUGCCAGCAGCCGCGGUAA
rnacentral:rRNA from 1 species